CUAAAAGUUGCCCCAACUUUUUAACUCUUAACGCAAGAGAUAAACUGAUAUGGCUUAUGAACGAAGAAGAUAAGUCUAUUCUCACUGCUGCAUGUAAAUUUAUUUCGAAAAAUUGUUAAUUAUGUGGCUUUCUUGUCUGCUUCAGACACGAGGAGGACUGUGUAAAUACUACAGCUCCUUGAGUACCGCCCCUUGGUGUCUGUUGCAGUAGGGAAACCUUCACUAUUCUCAAUACCUGUUUACUGCAGUAUAUGUUAUUUGCUGUGACUAUACAUAAACUUUUUUCAUUUGUGUUUGUUUUUCUGCAUCAGAUACGAGGAGGAUUGUUAGAGCUUUUAAGAUCACAAUCCUAGAGCAUCGUCCCUUGGUGUCUGUUGCAGCUAAACAAUCAUUUAUUUUAUAUUUAUAUUUUAUAUUUAUACAUUUUCAGCAAAAUAUUAUAAAAUCAAGUGAGAAAAAAAAAAAAGUAAAUAAAUAAAUGGGGUUUGCCACAUCUCUGGAGUAGCAACUCUCAAAUACUUUUUUAUUUAACAAAUAAUACCUGUAUGACUAUUUCAAUAGUUUAUUUUACAAUGUUAUGUAAAAUACUGUAUGUUGUAUCAAUUAUAUAUGUUAUGUGUAUAUGCCCCCCUGGGGACCUAAUUUGGAAAAUAAAAU
rnacentral:lncRNA from 1 species